rnacentral:rRNA from 1 species
CUGGCUCAGAGCGAACGCUGGCGGCAGGCCUAACACAUGCAAGUCGAGCGCCCCGCAAGGGGAGCGGCAGACGGGAGAGUAACACGUGGGAACGUACCCUUCAGUUCGGAACAACUCAGGGAAACUUGGGCUAAUACCGAAUACGUCCGUAAGGAGAAAGAUUUAUCGCUGAAGGAUCGGCCCGCGUCUGAUUAGCUUGUUGGUGAGGUAACGGCUCACCAAGGCUACGAUCAGUAGCUGGUCUGAGAGGAUGAUCAGCCUCACUGGGACUGAGACACGGCCCAGACUCCUACGGGAGGCAGCAGUGGGGAAUAUUGGACAAUGGGCGCAAGCCUGAUCCAGCCAUGCCGCGUGGAUGAUGAAGGCCUUAGGGUUGUAAAGUCCUUUCGACGGGGAAGAUAAUGACGGUACCCGUAGAAGAAGCCCCGGCUAACUUCGUGCCAGCCGCAGC